UUAGACAGAUACUUUUGCAUGCUAAAAAAGAAUUUGUAGGUUUAUUAGACCUUCAUUAUUUUGUUUAAUGUGUGUGUGUUUUCUUCAUUGAAUAUAUCCAAAGCAGUUUACAUAUGAAAAUUAUACAUUUUUUUCAGUAAGGAGACAGGUCAUCUGAAGCCUUUACAACUAAUUUCCUAUUUGUAAUAGCAUUAGUGAACUUAACUAGUUAGGAACUUGACCUAUUAAAUCUACACUAGAAGUGUUUAUAACUAUGACACACACCAAGACAUCAUUAUUUUAACAUAUGUUUUGCUAGAUCGCUUAUCUACAAAUGGAUAAUUUAGUUUAACAAUGACUGAUAAGCUUGUGUUCAACUCACUGAGUUAAUUCUGGAAAUACAAUAACAUAAUUUCAGGUUGUGUCUAUACUAUACAGUACAUUAUUUGAGGGUUUUUUUAAAAGUAAUUAACAUAAAUCUAUUUUGAAUAAAACUGCAGUAACAUAAACAGUCAGCAAGAGGAAGUUUAAUUUGUUAAUACCCAGUCGUAACUUAGUCAAAAUUGUUCUUGCUAAGUAUAAUCAGAAAGGAUGUGUGCGCACGCAGAAAUCUCAUUCGUGCCAGUGAGAAGUUUUGUUUUGUUUUGUUUUUUCUUAGUGUAAUUUGUUUUGUGAGAUAAGACUUAUGAAAUUGAGUAAUGGGAGGGAAAGAACUAAAUAAUGUGAUUGAGUCCUGUGUGCUAUGAUUCUGAGUCAAAAUAGACUGGUCAUCUUUAUUGUUAUAUUUCUUUUUUAAUCCAUGAAGUGCUAUUGCUUUGAAUGUUACAUUUGUUAUGUCCAUCAUUGGGUUGAUACAGUUCAAUUUUCAAUUUUGACACAGUAUAAAACAUUGAGUUUACGGCUGGCUCCCAUAUGCAUGCAAGCUCUUGAUAGUUGAUGACUCACUACCGAACAUAUAAACUGACUGCUGAAAAGGAACAGAUUUGAGAUGGAUAAAAACCAAUUAUGGACAAUUACAGAAGAACCAGAAUGGCUUAGGUGAUGAAACAUGUCAUGCUGCAAAUAUUGGACUGACUUACCUGUGUGGAAAUUGAGAUUCAAAUACUGUGUGUAUUAUCAAGUUUGCAUCAUUUGGUUUUGCAAUCACUACAGGAACCAAUUAUAUAUUUAUAUACUCAUGGCCCAAAUGUUUUAGUUUCAUAGUUUAUAGAGGCCUAAUUUAAAGCUUCAUUGUGAGUUUUUAACAUUUUCUAUAUUGCACUAGAUUUCUAUAUACAGUAUAUGCUAAUGUUCACCAUGUUUCCAUGUAGUUUAGAUUAUUUUUUUAGCAGGAAUAUUUCAAUAUUGAUAUAUACUUUGUCAAUUUUUAUGCUACAAAUAUGUGAUGUACUUCCAGAAGUAUGUGAAUAGCUAUAGCACCUAUGUGAAAAAUAUAUGAAUUAUAUUGUUGUUUUUCUUAAUGAUAUCUGUUUUUUAAUAUUACAUUUUCAAAAUGCUAAUCAAAUUGUUAGUCAAUUCACACUUAACAUAUAACCUUAAAUUUAAAUUGUUCACUAAAAACCUCAAAAUAAAAAUGUUGUGGAUCAA